rnacentral:rRNA from 1 species
UACGGAGGGGGCCAGCGUUGUUCGGAAUUAUUGGGCGUAAAGAGCGUGUAGGCGGCCAUACAGGUCCGUUGUGAAAACUGGAGGCUCAACCUCCAGACGUCGACGGAAACCGUAUGGCUAGAGUCCGGAAGAGGAGAGUGGAAUUCCUGGUGUAGCGGUGAAAUGCGCAGAUAUCAGGAAGAACACCCGUGGCGAAGGCGGCUCUCUGGGACGGUACUGACGCUGAGACGCGAAAGCGUGGGGAGCGAACAGG